CAUUCCAGCCUCUCCAUAUCACUGCAGUUCCGAUCAGUCAGUCGGCCUUUGCAGAUGUGGUGUGGACGGGAUCCCAAGCAGAGGGACAGUUAGUGUGAAGAGCUUAGGCAGGAAGGGGAGGACCAUGAUUGGGGUAAUGGGCAGGUGGGAAAGGAGCAGCCAGGAGUAGGAUGAGAGAGGCCGUUACUGCUGGAAGUGCGGCUGAGCUCCUGAGUGGUAGGCAGUGCCACUCCGGUAGUAAAUGGCCUUGCUGUGUCCCAGCUGGAAAAGAGUUCUUGAAGAUGCACACACCUGAGUUGUGCGGUUCUUUACAUCCCUCUCUUGUCCCCAAGUAAGAGAAGCAUGAAUCUUGCCUCCCAGAGGUGUUAAUGUCUGCUCUGUAGCACAAGCCCUAGUGAUCCCCUGUGACUCAAGAUCCCUGAACACAGUAGCGUAAACUGCAUGUCAGUGGCUUCUUUUAAAUCUCCAGCAGGCUGAGUGUGGUAGUUCACACUCUCAUCAUUGUGAGUUCAAGGCCAGCCUUAUCUACAUAGAGAAUUCCAGGAUAGCCAGGACUACAUAAAGAGAUACUGUCUCAAAACAUCAAACAACACAGAAAAACCCUGUCUUGAAAAACCAAUGAAACAAAACAAAGUCACUAGCAGGAGAUGGAGGGUUAGCUCAGUUGAAAUUUGUGAGGACUGAACUUCUGUACGGAAAAACACACUAAUAAUUCACAGGCAAUUAAAGUACUCAAAAAUAUGAAAUUGUGUUGUUUAUCAGGCAGUGUGACUCUGUCAUAACGGGGCCUAAAACUUAAGCAAACUAAAAUCUCAUGCAAUAGCCAACUUUAUUCAUUGCAUCAGACGAUUUAUACUCUGAGGGUUAAGAAGUGUCACCUGAGUAAAGUGUCAGUCACAAGGACAAGACCCACAUUGCAAAAUCAUGUCUUUUGUAAAAGCAUGUGAACAAGUAACAAUAGCCAGUGGCCAUGAGUAAUCUAGAGUAAACUCACCUCCAUUCACCUCCACCUGCUAUACUUGGUAGGCCCAAAGGCACAUUCAAGAACAAUCCUGGGUCUCGAUGGAACUGAGGAACCAAGACUCUUGUUUUCUCACAAGCACUCAGAAUUCUCACAGAACUCCAUUCUUGGAAUGUGUCUUGACAUCAUGUUUUAAACUAAAUAUUUAACUAAACACCGGGCAUCAAAACAGUGCAAUUAGAAGAAUGGGAUACCAUUUCUUUACUUACACGUGGGAAGAUUUUUUUUGAUGAUGAUGAUGAUGGUGGUGAUGAUCAUGGUGGUAGUGAUGGUGGUGGUGAUGGUGAUGAUGAUGAUGAUGAUAAUGAUGAUGUGGUCAGAAUGAGAAUCCUGCUCAAAGCAGCUGAGUACCAGCUUUGGGGAAGAAAUUUAGAAGUGUAUACAGCCUCACCAAACUUACAGAAGCUGCAGCUCCCAAGAGCCACAGUGAAUACGCCAAUGGUACUUAUGCGAUAACAAUAGGAACCUGCGGAAGCUUGGCCAGAAGACCACACAGCUGAAGUUGCCACAACACAGUGAGAGUCAUGAGAAUGAUUGUCCUCCACCAGCGUCUUUCAGUUCUGGGAGAAAUGAAUGGUGUUCCAGCAGCAUGCAAGCGCACAAGUGCAUGGAAGACCAUUGACUGUAGCAAAAAAGGAGUUCACUUUUUCAUUGUAAAAUAAAAUUUUAUGGGACAGC